rnacentral:tRNA from 12 species
GCUCCAUUAGCUCAGUGGCAGAGCAGUCGAUUCGUAAUCGACCGGUCGGGGGUUCGAAUCCCCCAUGGAGCUCCA